rnacentral:lncRNA from 1 species
CGUAAUCAAGGAAAAUUGGGUGUGUAUUUGAGUUUCCGUGUAACACAAUGAUGUUUUCUCAUAUAUUAAAAUUACAAUCAACGUUAUCAUA